rnacentral:rRNA from 1 species
UACAGAGGUGGCAAGCGUUGUUCGGAAUUACUGGGCGUAAAGGGCGCGUAGGCGGUUCGUUAAGUCCUGUGUGAAAUCCCCCGGCUCAACUGGGGAACUGCACAGGAAACUAGCGGGCUUGAGUUCGGGAGAGGUGAGUGGAACUGCGAGUGUAGAGGUGAAAUUCGUAGAUAUUCGCAAGAACACCAGUGGCGAAGGCGGCUCACUGGCCCGGUACUGACGCUGAGAUACGAAAGCGUGGGGAGCAAACAGG